UGAGACGCAUGUUAAUAACUCGUUGUAUAUCAUAGAGAGGUUAGGGGCAGAAAACACUACACCUGCACUGCCAAAAACACAGUGACCAUGAUGGAAAGCUCCACAGUUCUGGAUCUGAGAGCAUCCUGCAUUGCUCCCUGUGGGUCAUCCUCAGUGCUGGUCAUCUUUGCACUCGCUCUGAAAGGGCUGAUAUAAGACAAAGAGCACGUGAGAUAUGACCAGUUCUUUUCCCCGAUAAGUGACUCUGGAUCCUUAAUUAAAAAAUCAACCACAAAGUACUUUGUAUAAAUCAUUAUAUUGCUGAAGCAUACUUUGAUGCUA